GUUAUGGCAAUGUUCUUCGUGUUUACAAUUUCAAUUGAAAUGUAGAUGAUUCAUUUCAAUUGAAAUGUAGAUGAUUCAUUUCAUAGUUUAAAUGAUGUAGCACAAUAUUUAAAUGACAUGAUAUUAUAUAUACCGUUAGACGUACUAUAGAAAACAUGAACAUUUAUGUAAAGUAGGAGAGAUAGGCGAAAAAUUAUUUACAAACUGAUGAUGUGAUAUUUUGUGUUGGUUCCGUAGGAGUUGUGUUGAAAGCAAGGAUCACAUCUUUUAUUGUAGCUUUAGCAGGAGAAUAUGGAGAGAAAUUAAUCGCCAUAAUCAAGUAAGGGAGAUUACAGGCGGGAGCAUGAAAUAGAUUUUGUGUAGACUUAGCUUGGGACCAACUAUAUAUCAUAUUUGGAAGCAACGUAAUGAGCUCAAAUAUGGUAUGCAUCCCAUAAAUGAGGAGGAAAUCAUCAAAUAGAUAAAGUGGGAGGUCAGGUCUAGAAUAAUAGCUGAAGGCAAAUUUCGGGUGUCCAAUGAGAAUAUGGUGCUUUUCAAAAAGUAUGGUUGAAAGGUAAAAGGAGAGCACAAUCAGGACUUCAUCGUAAUCCAAACUUGGCUCCUGUGGAAAAGGAGUUUCUUCCAAUUUAAUAAUGCACCAGGUGGAAAAGUCUAAAUUCAUGGGGGACAUCAUAUAUUUUUAUGAAGCCCUAACUUCAUUAAAAACAUUUACUUUAUUGGUCAUAUUUUGGAAAAUUAUGGGGGCCGGUAAACUAAUGAAUGAGUAAUACACUACGCUACUAUCACACUUUUUUAAUGUGGCAGGAGGAUCUAGUAAUUCUGAAAUUUUUUGUCACGUUAGAUGGUGGUGGUGUAAUGCAUGGUUGAAAUUUUUAACUUCAUUGGUUGAGUUGCAUCAUAUUUUGGAAAUUGCGGCGGUGAAAUACAGGGUUGAAAGCAUCUUGCCAUGCUGUGCGUAAUGGUUUUUGUCGCACCUCAUAACUGAGAAUUCCUCUUAAGAACGAAGUAAGCAUGUUUUUUGAGAGCUUAAAAGCAUCGCCUCCUGUCCUCUUUGUUGCAAAAGCUAAUAGCUUUAAAAUUUUUCUAAAUUUAACUUUAAAAAUUUAUUUAAGUUAAUUUAAUUAGCUAUUUUUUCAAGCCACUAACUAAAUAUCAAACUCUUUAAAUAUUUUUUACUUUAACUACAUAUUAUAUUUUAUUAAUGAACGCAACUUUUAGACUUUUUUCUUCAAAAAUAAAAAUAAAAGCUUUAGACUCUUUAAAUUUAAAAAUAUAUUUGGUUGAGAGAAGAAAAAGUACAAAAAAUAAAGAACAUUAAAAAAACAAAUUUCAUUCACUUUUUAACUCCAUAAAGAGAGUUUCUUACGAAUAUUAAAUUUGAUAGAGAAUUUGUUGACUAGUAGUUUUGGUGUAUUUUGUCAAAAAAAAAAAUCUUGAAAAAAAUAAAUUUUUUUUUAAGAACUCAUUGUGAUUGCUUUUUGUAAUUUUUGAAAGAGCUAUAUAGAAAAAUCAAUUGUAAAGAUUGGGAGUUGCCAUUAUCAGAGUAAGAAAUACCAAGACAAUAGAGCAAACCCUUGUCCUCUUACAGCAUUAAUGGUUGUUACUUCACAUGGAAAGGACAACUAUCAAGCGAACAAAAUACAAACAAAACACGGUCAUAAAGUUUCCUCUAAAAAAGGAUGUGCAUUCAAAUUGAAGCAAAUAUGGAAGGAAAGGAAGUAAAACCUCCAGCUUAGGCAAAAUUGCUAUUAAGGAAUAUGGAAGAAAAUCUCCGCCUACAUCACACUGACAAAAGAAAAAUGCUAGAAUAUCAACCCAAAUGACAGAAAAUCAAAGAUUCAAAAUCACACAAAAAUAUGGGAUGUGUUGUAGUGGCCCAAUACAUUGAGGAAUAAAACUGAUACAUAUAAAGAGGAAUAAAACUAGACAAGCUGAACACUCUUUUUAAGUGUCUUCAUGUAUGUAAAAAAAUUCCAUAAAAAACUCCAGUGCUAGAAUGUUUCAAAAUGAUUUUAUAUAACUCAAUCAAGAGACUAGGGAAAAGUUCACCAAAAAAUCUAUACAGCCCAUCCAAGAGUGGUUCUCCUCUAACCUGCAAGAGCCCCGAAAAAACAAAAGGCUUUCAUUAACAAUAUUUUGUUAAUAUUAAAACUUGUUGAUUUUAGAAAAUGAUUUUAUUUGAAGAGGAGACUAACCUGGUCUGGUGUUGGGUCUUCCCAGUAAUGACUCACCCUAUUGCUUAUGAAUCGCAGGAGACCCUUCACAGAACCAUACAAAUUUUCAUAGUUCCCAUCUAUGUCAAAAUUAGGCUGUUUUUUUUUGUAUCUCAGUGUGCCAUGUUUUUUGGUUACUGCCAAAGAGUUUGCUAAACAUUUUAGUUUUAGUUGCAUACACAUCCAAAUCAGCCAAAAGACAUUGCAAUUGAGUUGAUUGUUGAGUUUUCUUCUCGGCUACUUUAAUUCUGUCAUUGACACGGAUUAGAAACUGCAUUUUCUUCGACCGGCUCCAAAAUAAUGGAUGCAAACUUAUCUCCUUGAUCGUCCCCCUAAUAAUAGAGCAUUACAAUAUUGGCUAUCAAAUUCAUCAACAUAAAAUUCCAAAAAUAUGAGUGCAUGUAAUAUAUUCAAUGAUUCAUACCUUAGGUGAGGUUCUUUUUGUAAUAGAGUUUUGAUUAGAUGACUUGCUUCCGGACAUUCAACAAUCAGCCACAACCUAGGUUCAUCAACAACAAUAUUUUUUGGAAAUCUUUCAGGGUGACUAUCAAAGGGAUGGUUACCCUCACUAAGAACAUAAUAAAAAACCAAUCCUAAUAAAAACAUGUCAGAUGAAAGGCUCGCUUUUUCAUCCAAUGUUAACUGCUCUGGUGAUUUCCACCACUCAGUCAAUCAUCUGCAAUCCGACAUGAAAUAACAAGUUAAGAUUUUGAAUAAAACAAUGAUUUAAGAACUUAGAGACAGAUCAACUAGUUCUAUAAUAAGUUAUAGCUGCAUUGAAGGACCAAACCAUUGACAAAUAAUUACUAGAUCAGAGUACUCACUAGAAAGGUGAGAAAUGUCCAAUUUAGUAGAAGCAUUUUGAUUAUCUUCCUUUGCAUAGUUGCAUUCUUUAACGCAUUUAUCAUAAUCAUAAAACUUCACGCAUAAAGGUGCCAUGUCCAGCCCAUCCCCUACUGGCUUUGCCUCCAUCGCAAAAAAAAUAAGCUCUGGAUUGAACUCAGAAAGACCCAAUCCAAGAGAAGGACGAGUAGUCAUCUCAUCAAUCAAUUCUCUGUAUCAAAAAGAUAUUAGUAAUAAGCAAAGAAGAGUUUUUGAGGUAUAGCAGCUUCGUUUGAAAAGUUUUUGAAACUUGAUACGAAGAAAGAGAAAAGUACUUGAAUCAGGAUCAGGGAGCUAGAGUAUUUGAUUGAAUCUAAAGAUAUGUGAUGAGUAAUGAAUAGAGUGAUUGUGUUCUGCUUGGGUUUAGGGAAGAAUGGUUGAGUAAUUUUAUCGAGUACUAAUUUCCCUUUUAGGAUCCGACUAACCCCAAACAAAACAGGAUCUAUCAUACAGAGUGCCCAACAAUUCAAACGUAUACCAAAAUAAAACACUGAAUACGUAUGCAAGCAGUAAUUUUUGGUGUUCUGUUUCUAAUCUCCAAUACGUAUUUAACAAGCAAUAACCUUUUAAGGCUCAAAAAGCAAAGAGUUACCUCAAUAUUUUUAACGUAUGAGGUCUUGGUCUACUACGAUCAUACAACUCAAAAUCUGGCAAAACCUCAUCCACAGCCGUAACAUCAUCCUCAGUCUCGGUCAUUUUCUUGAUAAAGAACUUCAUAAUAUCCGUCAAGUUGCACAAACAUGGCUCCAUAACCACAUAGGAUCUCUGUCCAUCUAUCCUACAUGGUCAUGGAGCCCUGUUUGUGCAACUUAGACGGAUCUUUUACUUCAACGGAGUAUAGCACCCGGAUAUACAACUUGAUGGUUAUGAUAAGAUCGGUUUGUCGCAACCGCAAGAAGUGGAGCUAAGAAAGGGAAGAAAGCCGGAGGAACUUUUGACAAGAUUGUAGGAAGAUGAAACAAGGGGCUGUAGAGAACGGUGAGGAUGAUAUAUCUUGUGAAGAAGUUUCUCGCAACUGGUCAAUUUAAACAUAGGUUCAGACCAACGGCUUGGAUUUCUUUUAAGAAAACCAAGCCCCAACAACGCGCCACGUCAAAAGGAGGAAUAGGAAGAGUUAACGUGGAGAGGAUCCUUUUCCCGGACGAUCAUACAUCUCCUUUCAUAGCCUACGUUUUUUUUUGGGAAAAAGGUAGUGGUAUGCAGGCUUUUUUCACGUGGGAUUGCAGGCAGUUUAUUUUCCUCUGCAUACGCAAUGUAUUUAAGUUGUACAUUGAAUGGCCAUUAUUUCUUGCUAACCUCCCAGCACCAUCCACUUAUCUGACGGUUACUAAGUCAGGUUUCACCUCAGCGAACAAAAUCACCUACAAACGAUUAUUUCCCUCUGACGUUCUGCAUCUACCCUCAGAAAUUAAAGAUGUCUGACUCCCAUUCUGCCGCGGACAAGACCACCCAAUACAGUUUGCAACCCAACGGACAAAACAUGUCACAGACUUAAAUGAGUCUUUAUUUUAAAUCUCAUCCUGUUCAGACUAAAUGACUGUUUAUUUAGCUUGGACUUAGAUAUAUCGGGGCUCAUAUCAAAAAGCACUAUAAAAAAUUUCCAGAAGAUAAUAAUAAUUAAGAGAUUUAAUAGUAUUGAGUUAAAUAUUUUAAGAGGCACAAAAUUAAUAUUUAAAAAUAAUACUUUUAUGUAAUUUUAUAACAUUUUAAAAUAUUUUUUAACUCUAAUUUUAUUCUCUUCCAUUAUAUUUAUUUUUAUUGUUAAUUUCCUGUUUAAUAUUAUUUUGUACCUAUUAAGCUACCGAGCAAGCUGCCAACAAGCAGCAAGAUGCCAGCAAGCCGAAGCAAGAAACUGUUUUAGACAAAUCACAGAUUACAUAUAAAAUUCUGGCUGUAUAGAUGACAUGUCAAUUUAACUUAAUAUUAAAUUGUUACAUUUGUUAGAAAAUUAGUUAGUCAGUUAAAUUCUUUCUUAGUCGCAUAACAAAAGAGCGUAUGCUCUGUUUUGAUCUUGUAUAUGUUAAUACAACUUUCAUAAUUUAUUUCUCUCAACAAAAAUUUUUGAACCACAAAAAUAAUAUUCCAACAAUCUUAAAUGUUGAGCAGAUUGAUGCACAAAUUCUUGUUGUUAAAGGUUGAUGGAAACAAUUUUAAAAUGUUUCUCAUCUUCAUGUGGCAUUAGCUUAUUUUGGGUGAUUUAUUUUUUUAAUCAAGAUCAAGUUUUUUUUAUUUUUUAUUUUUUGAAGUGUUAAUCAAUAUCGAGUUGAACUAGCAGGAACCACUCCAUAGACAGAUGAAUCAUAUCUCCCACAUGUCAGGAUAGGUGCAUAUAAUAGAUGCAUUUGUACUCGUUUCAACUAAUGCGAAGUGUAUAUCAAAGGGAAAUCUGGAUUGUGGAGGGAUGCACGAAAUAUAUUGGUUCUAAGAUUAAUGGGUAUGGACCAUAUGAUUCAUCUUCAUCAAGAUUAAUCAACUUAUUUGUACUUAAAUUAUACCAUUUUGAGAUUAAUUGGUAUAGACCAUAUGAUUCAUCUUCAUGAAGAUCAAUUAACUUAUUUGUACUUAAAUUUAUACCAUUUUGACUUUGCUACAAAAGUUAUGGCAAUGUUUUUCGUGUUUACAAUUUUAAUUGAAAUGUAGAGUAUUCAUUUCAUAGUUUAAAUUAGAUUUUAUAGAUCUAAUGUAUAUAAUUUUAAAUGAUGCAGCACAAUAUUUAAAUAACAUGAUACUAUAUAUGCAUUAGAUGUACCAUGUAUAAAUCAUGUGACAUAGCUGAACAUUUAUGUAAAGUAGUGGAAAUUGGCAAAAAUUUCUUACGGUCUCCAAAUUGACGUGAUAGUUUACAUGUUAUUUAUUACACAAACUAUUAAAUAAUUAAAUAUAUUUGUUAAAUUUAUAAAAGAGUUGGCAUUCCAAGCAUUUUUGUCCAUAUUAAUUAUUAAUACAUGUCAACUUUACAGCCUAAAAUGUGUCCCAUCGUCCCGUUUGAUGCAUAAUAGACAUAUAUAUAGCCAAGACCAAUUACGUCGGGAAAAAAAAAAGUGCACGUAGGCAUAUUACGUCGAAAACGGCGGCACUUUCCUCCAUUCUUCUCCGUGACCAAUUCGUUUCACACAGGGAUCAGAAUUUUCUGAUCAAUUUACAAAAACAGUGGAGGAAAUUCGAGUUCUUCGAGGAGAAAAGCGCUGGGAAAUCGAAUAGGGUACCGGAGGAGGUGAGCGGGAGAAUCGAAUGCUGUUCGAGCGGCAGAGGGAAGGUGGUGAUCGGCUGCGACGACGGCACCGUUACCCUGCUCGAUCGCGGCCUCAACUUCAACUACGCCUUCCAAGCCCACUCCUCCUCCGUCCUCUUUCUUCAGCAGCUCAAGGUUCCUUCCUUCUCUCUUAGAAUUUGAAAAUUUUCGAAGCUUGUUUGGGAUCCUGCUAAUUGCAUUCGUCCAUUAAGUUGCUGAUUUGGGCAGUUCAAACUUUGGGUUUCGGUUUUGUGGGAUUGAUUUUUGCGAUUAUUUGGUUGCUGAGGAAAUCUGGGAAAGGAAAGGAGUUGAGAUUUUACAACUCGGUUACCUCCUUUUUUUUUUUUAGUUGGACAGCUCAAAGUCUGAGUUUUUUUUCGCGUGGAUUUGAAGUUGUAAAGCGUUUAAUUGCCGAAAAAAAAUUCAGAUAUAAGAAUUGGGUUUAUUCCUCUUUUUUGUUGUUCCCGAAUCUUUAGCGGCUCAAGUUAGUUCUGGGGAUUAUGAUUAUUCUUGUUCUGUUUUUAAUGUUCAGCUGCUCAAAGUUUUGUGCUUUGGUUUUGUAAUUAUUUUCAUAUUGUGUAGCCUCUAUUGAAGUUACAUCAUGGUUUGAAAUUGAUGCAAGAUUUGUUUAUGUUUAUAAAAUCAGCAACGCAACUUUCUGGUAACUGUUGGAGAGGAUGAACAAAUAUCUCCGCAGCAAUCAGCUAUGUGCCUGAAGGUCUUUGAUCUUGAUAAGAUGCAGCCAGAGGGCUCAAGCACGACUAGCCCUGAUUGUAUUGGUAUAUUGCGCAUAUUCACUAAUCAGUUUCCUGAAGCAAAGGUAGUGUGCUGUGUAGAUGCGUAUACUUGUCUCAUUUCUUAUCUGAUUGCCUAGUUGCCUUUUUAGUAAUAUCUUGCAGUAAAUUUGUCUAGGUAAAGUUAAUCUUGGUCUACCUGCCUCUGCACUUGUGUUUAUCUUAAUGAAAUUUUGAAACCUAUAUGAUAUACUGCAGAUCACAUCAUUCUUAGUACUAGAGGAAGCACCACCAAUACUACACAUAGCUAUUGGCUUGGAUAAUGGUUGCAUUUACUGCAUCAAAGGAGACAUUGGACGUGAGCGAAUCUCCCGUUUCAAGCUUCAGGUGGAUAACCUCUCAGACAAAAGCCAGUCUGCUAUAACUGGUCUAGGUUUCAGAGUGGAUGGUCAAGCCCUUCAAUUAUUUGCUGUUACUCCAGCUUCAGUUAGCUUGUUCAGCCUGCAGGAUCAACCACCGAAACGGCAAACCCUAGAUCAGAUUGGAUCCAAUGUCAACAGUGUUGCGAUGAGUGACCGCUUGGUAUGCAGUUAUGGGAGCUGUUCAUUUUUAUGUUUCCUCAAUAACUGUGUUUUAUAUUCUCUAAGAAAGAUAACUGUUUACAUGUUUUCUCCUUUUCAGGAGUUGAUAAUUGGUCGACCUGAGGCUGUAUACUUUUACGAAGUUGAUGGACGUGGUCCAUGUUGGGCUUUUGAAGGAGAGAAGAAGUUUCUGGGGUGGUUUCGUGGAUACCUUUUAUGUGUUAUUGCAGACCAAAGAAAUGGCAAAAACACUUUCAAUGUUUAUGACUUGAAGAACCGUUUGAUAGCCCAUAGUAUAGUGGUUAAAGAAGUUACUCACAUGCUUUGUGAAUGGGGGAACAUAAUACUCAUAAUGUCUGACAAAUCAGCUUUGUGUAUCGGGGAGAAGGAUAUGGAAAGCAAGUUAGAUAUGCUCUUUAAGAAAAACCUUUAUACUGUAGCUAUAAAUCUUGUUCAAAGUCAACAAGCUGAUGCUGCUGCAACUGCAGAGGUGUUAAGAAAGUAUGGUGACCAUCUAUAUAGCAAGCAAGACUAUGAUGAGGCUAUGUCCCAGUAUAUCCACACUAUUGGUCAUCUUGAACCUUCUUAUGUCAUACAGAAGUUUUUAGAUGCACAAAGAAUCUACAAUCUUACGAACUACUUGGAGAAAUUACAUGAGAAGGGGCUUGCUUCUAAAGAUCAUACAACUCUUCUCUUAAACUGUUACACCAAAUUGAAAGAUGUGGAGAAGCUAAAUAUAUUCAUUAAAAGUGAGGAUGGUGUUGGGGAACAUAAGUUUGACGUCGAAACUGCAAUAAGGGUUUGCCGUGCUGCCAAUUAUCAUGAGCAUGCCAUGUAUGUUGCUAAGAAGGCAGGGAGGCAUGAAUUGUACUUAAAGAUCUUACUUGAAGACCUUGGUAGAUAUGACGAAGCAUUGCAAUAUAUUUCAAGCCUUGAACCAAGUCAAGCAGGGGUAACAGUGAAGGAGUAUGGUAAGAUUCUCAUAGAGCACAAGCCAGUGGAGACUAUUGAGAUACUCAUGAGGCUUUGUACAGAGGAUAAAGAAUCAGUUAAGCAAGGAGCCUCCAGUGGUGCAUAUGUAUCUAUGUUGCCAUCUCCUGUUGAUUUUCUCAACAUUUUCAUCCAUCACCCGCAGUCCCUAAUGGAUUUUCUUGAAAAAUAUACCAACAAGGUGAAAGACUCGCCUGCUCAAGUUGAAAUCCACAACACGGUAUUGGAGUUGUACUUGUCCAAUGACAUGAAUUUUCCAUCAAUCUCACAAACUAGUAACAAUGGAGAUCUUAAUCUUGGAGCAGCUGGAAUGUCAAGAGCUGAGUCCAAUGGGAAAUUUGCUGCUGAUCGCAAAGAUUCAGCUAAGGAAAAGGAUAACCUGGAAAGGCGUGACAAGGGGCUACGUUUGCUUAAAAGUGCAUGGCCAUCUGAGCUAGAACAUCCGCUUUAUGACGUUGAUUUAGCUAUUAUUCUGUGUGAAAUGAAUGCAUUUAAAGAAGGGCUGUUGUAUCUAUAUGAAAAGAUGAAACUCUAUAAAGAGGUGAUUGCUUGCUAUAUGCAGGCACAUGACCAUGAGGGAUUGAUUGCAUGCUGCAAAAGAUUGGGAGAUUUAGGUAGAGGAGGGGAUCCAUCUCUUUGGGCAGAUCUGCUGAAGUAUUUUGGUGAACUUGGAGAAGAUUGCUCCAAAGAAGUGAAGGAAGUUUUGACCUAUAUUGAAAGGGAUGACAUCUUGCCUCCUAUUAUUGUUCUUCAAACGCUGUCCAGAAAUCCAUGCCUCACACUCUCUGUCAUUAAGGAUUAUAUUGCUCGAAAGCUUGAACAGGAAUCAAAGCUGAUCGAAGAGGACCGACGAGCUAUUGAGAAGCAUCAGGUUGCUGCUUAUUAUUAGAUUUCUUUGAAAGUUCAUCUGUUGUACCUAUUUCUGUCAUGGCACCCACUUUGGGUGCAUGGUGCAAUGAUUUUCAUUGAUUUUUUUAUUUAUUAAUUACAUAAAUUUAUCAAAAUGCGCAGAACAUGCGAAGUAUCACUAUAAAAGAAUAAGAAAAUAGAAAUAGCUCCUAAAUUGUGAAAAUACUCCAAUAACAAAAUCCAACGGGGAAAAGUAAAUAAAGAAACUAGAAUGGAAGGGCUUGACUAUGAUUCAGUGUUCUGUCUUAGAAGGCUUCUUUGGAAGGUUAGGUUGCAAUAUUUCUUGAACAUUGUAGGAAACAAGGUAGGAAAGGGAUUUACAUAUGCUUAAUCAUUUGUAGCAUGUGUUUGGCAUUUUUCUGACCAUGCAUAUUGAUACUUCUAAUUGUCAUUAUAGAAAUGUUAAGCUGUAUCAUAAUUAUUUCAGAUAAAUAAAUACAGAAUCAACUGUUGUCCCCUCUCCUCAUAGUGUGUGUGGCAUGUGAGUAGAAUUUUGUUGACAUUUAAGAGAAAAGAAUCAUUCUGCAGACACAUAGUCAUAUUCAAUCACCAUCUUCAUUCUUUAUUCAACGAAAAGACCAAAUUAUUAAAUGAGUUGCUUCAACUUGCAGGAAGACAGUUUGGCAAUGAGAAAAGAAGUUGAGGAUCUCAGGACAAAUGCCAGAAUAUUUCAGCUUAGCAAGUGCACUGCAUGCACUUUCACACUUGAUCUCCCUGCUGUACACUUUAUGUGUAUGCACUCAUUCCAUCAGCGCUGCCUCGGUGAUAAUGAAAAGGAGUGUCCUGAGUGUGCUCCCGAAUAUAGGUCUGUUCUAGAAAUGAAGAGAAGCUUGGAGCAAAAUUCUAAAGACCAGGAUCAGUUCUUUCGGCAAGUGAAGAGUUCAAAGGAUGGGUUUUCUGUGAUUGCUGAGUAUUUUGGAAAAGGAAUCAUAAGCAAAACUAGUAAUGGACCCACGGGUGGUGUUAGAUCAGGCAGCACUUCUUCCAGCAGUGGCCUCUGAGCGUUGUUGUUUGCUUGUUUCUUUGUCUCAAUAUUCUGCCAGGAAUGAGUGAGGGUUUUAAUCUGCUGUUGUUGUAAUCAAUGGAUGGAGAAACAAAUUGGGAGCAAGAAAAGAGGGAAAUGAACUCCUUUGCCGUUCGUGUAUUGCUAGAAAAUUUUUGGGUAGAAGCGGGUCUGUGUGUAGAGGCUGAAGUUUGUGAUGUCGUUUUCGCCACAGCAUUGGUGAGAAGCUGCUGAUAUGGUGCAGCUGGCACACUUAACUGAGUCGAGUUUGGAGUUCUACCUGAUUGGCUUGCCACUGACUUUUAUAUAUAUAUAUAUAUAUAAAAGAAAUCCCAUAACAUUGAGUCUGAAGGUCUUUAAGGGAAAGCAUUUCCCUGCAAGCAUGUGCAAUUGGAGAGUAUGGCGCUCUACAUUUGUAAUUAACUAAUCUGGAAGAUUGUCCCCUUGUCAUUGAUUUUUCUUCUUCUUUUUUCUUUCUUUAAUGUAUC
rnacentral:precursor_RNA from 1 species